CCUAUGGGGGGCAGCAGUCGCGAAAACUUCACACUGGGGGCAACCCCGAUGAGGGAAUUCCUAGUGCCUGCACGAUUGUGUUUGGCUUUUCUUUAGCGUAGAUAACUAAAGGAAUAAGGGCUGGGUAAGACGGGUGCCAGCCGCCGCGGUAAUACCCGCAGCCCUAGUGGUGGUCGACAUUAUUGAGUCUAAAACGUUCGUAGCCGGUUUGGUAAAUCUUUGGGUAAAUCGGGGAGCUUAACUUUCCGAAGUCCGAGGAGACUGCCGAACUUGGGACCGGGAGAGGCAAGAGGUACCUUUGGGGUAGGGGUAAAAUCCUGUAAUCCUAGAGGGACCACCGGUGGCGAAGGCGUCUUGCUAGAACGGAUCCGACGGUGAGGGACGAAGCCCUGGGUCGCAAACGGGAUUAGAUACCCCAGUAGUCC
rnacentral:rRNA from 1 species